GGCAGUUUGGCCUGCCGUUGGGGAUGACAGACAUACCCAACAAACUACUCCGUGGUGCUGCCUUUCCGAAAGGGGGUGGUAUUGAGCGACGAGAGAAAAGGUAGUAAUGUAACUAUCAAGU
rfam:Leadbetterella byssophila DSM 17132, complete genome.